rnacentral:rRNA from 1 species
AACUUUCAACAACGGAUCUCUUGGUUCUGGCAUCGAUGAAGAACGCAGCGAAAUGCGAUAAGUAAUGUGAAUUGCAGAAUUCAGUGAACCAUCGAAUCUUUGAACGCACAUUGCGCCCGCCAGCACUCUGGCGGGCAUGCCUGUCCGAGCGUCAUCU